GACGAACGCUGGCGGCGUGCUUAACACAUGCAAGUCGAACGGAAAGGCCCUGCUUUUGUUGGGUUCUCGAUUGGCGAACGGGUGAGUAACACGUGAGUAACCUGCCCUUGACUUUGGGAUAACUUCAGGAAACUGGGGCUAAUACCGGAUAGGAGCUCCUGCUGCAUGGUGUUGGUUGGAAAGUUUCGGCGGUUGGGGAUGGACUCGCGGCUUAUCAGCUUGUUGGUGUGGUAGUGGCUUACCAAGGCUUUGACGGGUAGCCGGCCUGAGAGGGUGACCGGCCACAUUGGGACUGAGAGACGGCGCAGACUCCUACGGGAGGCAGCAGUGGGGAAUAUUGCACAAUGGGCGGAAGCCUGAUGCAGCAACGCCGCGUGCGGGAUGACGGCCUUCGGGUUGUAAACCGCUUUCGACUGUGACGAAGCGUGAGUGACGGUAAUGGGUAAAGAAGCACCGGCUAACUACGUG
rnacentral:rRNA from 1 species